rnacentral:rRNA from 1 species
AGCGGCCGCGGUAAUUCCAGCUCCAAUAGCGUAUAUUAAAGUUGUUGCAGUUAAAAAGCUCGUAGUUGAAUUUCGGGAUCAAGGGAUCGGUCAUGCCUUGGUAUGUACUGGUUUUAUUGGUUCUCACCUUCUAAAGAACCAUGAUGUCGUUCAUUUGAUGUUAUGGGGAAUUAGGACUGUUACCUUGAAAAAAUUAGAGUGUUUAAAGCAAGCUUACGCUUGAAUACAUUAGCAUGGAAUAAUGAAAUAGGACAUCAGAUUCUAUUUUGUUGGUUUCUAGGAUCGAUGUAAUGAUUAAUAGGGAUAGUUGGGGGCAUUAGUAUUCAAUUGUCAGAGGUGAAAUUCUUGGAUUUAUUGAAGACUAACUACUGCGAAAGCAUUUGCCAAGGAUGUUUUCAUUAAUCAAGAACGAAAGUUAGGGGAUCGAAGACGAUCAGAUACCGUCGUAGUCUUAACCAUAAACUAUGCCGACUAGGGAUCGGAUGAUGUUAAUUUUUUAAUGACUCA